rnacentral:rRNA from 1 species
AUACGGAAGGUCCGGGCGUUAUCCGGAUUUAUUGGGUUUAAAGGGAGCGCAGGCGGCCUUUUAAGCGUGACGUGAAAUGUAGGCGCUCAACGUCUGAAUUGCGUCGCGAACUGUUAGGCUUGAGUAGACGGAAUGUCGGCGGAAUUCGUGGUGUAGCGGUGAAAUGCUUAGAUAUCACGAAGAACUCCGAUUGCGAAGGCAGCUGACAGCAGUUUUACUGACGCUCAUGCUCGAAAGUGCGGGUAUCGAACAGGAUUAGAUACCCGGGUAGUCCGCACGGUAAACGAUGGAUGCCCGCUGUUUGCCUUUUUGGUAAGCGGCCAAGCGAAAGCAUUAAGCAUCCCACCUGGGGAGUACGCCGGCAACGGUGAAACUCAAAUGAAUUGACGGGG